rnacentral:rRNA from 1 species
UACGGAGGGGGCUAGCGUUGUUCGGAAUUACUGGGCGUAAAGCGCACGUAGGCGGACUGUUAAGUCGGGGGUGAAAUCCUGGGGCUCAACCUCAGAAUUGCCUCCGAUACUGGCAGUCUCGAGUGCGGGAGAGGUGGAGUGGAAUUCCCAGUGAUAGAGGUGAAAUUCGUAAGAUAUUGGGAAGAACACCAGUGGCGAAGGCGGACUGCCACUG